rnacentral:rRNA from 1 species
GCAUGCUCACAACAUAGCGUCAAUGCACUGGAUCCCAUUAGAACUGCAUAGUUAAGUGUCCUCGGACUAGAGUAGUACUGGGAUGGGUGAUUUCCUAGGAAGUUCUAGUGUUUACAUGCU